rnacentral:lncRNA from 1 species
AUGUUGGCGAUCCGCGUACGCGCGAUCGGACGGCCCAGAUCAAGCGUGCGUACGGACGAUCUAGAUGAAAUCGCACGGACGGUCCGGAUUUAAUCAAAAAACGGACGGCUGAGAUCAAAAGGCAAAAGGGUAUAAAUAGAACCCCCACACCAGACCACAAAAACCCUAGCCGCCUGUCCUCGCCGGAGAAGAUGAACCAGACGCCGGAGACGCCGACCGCCGCCACCCGCCGCCGCACCGGGGAGAUUUUCGACCGCCGAUCGAGGUAAAUUUCAUACCCCCGACUCGUUUUUCCACGCUGAUUUCCCCUGUGGCCAAAUCGGAGCCAAAAUCCCGGCCAAACGGCCGGAAAACACGGCCGAAACCCAGUGGGGCUGCCGCGUCCCUUCUCGAUUUUUGCCUCCGAUGAGGCCCUUCCCGACCUCCGUUUGAUGCAAUUUUUAUAUCACUGUGAUCACCAUUCUUUUCUCUACAGGUUGAUCGGAGCC